GCGGGCAUUUGUAUGUGCCGCCGAGUGUGGAUGAAAUUCGGGCGUUUAGGAUAUCGGGAGCGAAAUUUGUGAAGCUGAAUAAAGGGACAUGGCAUGCGGGUCCUCUGUUUAGAGCAAGUGCUAGAGAUUUCUACAACCUGGAAUUGACUGAUACUAAUGUUGUUGAUCAUACAAGUUACAACUUUGGAGAAGAAAAUGGGGUAUUAUUUCACAUUGAGGACUAGAUCCAUAUAUUGUUCUACACCACCACCAAGAUUGUCAUCCUUAUGGAGAUUAAAGAAUUAUAAGUGGAGUUGUUCUGUGAAAUAUCGAAAUUAUGUGUUAUUGUUAGAUUAAAUUCAUAAAGUUUGUAAUGAUUUGUUUGGGCUACAUCUAGAUUCAAGAUUGUAGUGCUUUAUUUGAGAGGGCUAAAGGAGAAGUAUUUUGAUGGUAAGGACAUGUAUGUAUUUGGG
rnacentral:misc_RNA from 1 species